CUUCUGUCUGAUGUUAACGAGGCUCAGCCAUCAUAACCAGGUGAAUGAAGUCUGACCUUGUUUUCCAGGAUUUUACCAUGGAAAAGAGCACACAUGUGGGAGUGAAAGCACCUUGCUGCAGUCCUGCCUCUGCCACUCAAUGUUGGGUCCAGGCAAGAAGCUCAACCUUCCAGAGCUUCAAAGUUUUCCAUUUACGGUGAUUUUAACCCAGGAGUAUUUUUCAGUAUCAUUUGUGGAGCUUUUUAAAAUGCACAACUCCAAGCCAGACCUGUGGAAUCAGAAUUUCCUGAGCUGUGGUGUAUUCCACCUUUGUUCUGACUCUCUCGAGGACCUGGCCCUAUCUGACUGCCAAUAAUAUUUCUACUGAACUCAUCUGUAUAUAAUACAUCCACUCUGAAACAUUCCAAGAUAGUCCAACUGGAGUAGAGAAUUAAUCUGACCUGUGUGGGACCUGGCUCCUGUCCCGGAAGGAACCACACAGGUGGCCAUGCCUCCCUGAGCUUGGACCAAGCUCUCCCUGUCACUGCCAGCUUGGAAUGCCUUUGCUCUUUGGAUGAUUAGAAGGUAUAGAUAAGCUGAAGUUAAUGAAUGAUGUUCACAUCAUUGCCCUAUGGGAUCAUAUGAGGUAAGUGACUAUACUUGUAACCCUAUAGAUUGAUUGUAGUUUGACCUGUGUUGUAGCCAUGUUGUGAUUUUGCUGUAAAAAGUACCCAUGACAAAGGGCCUCAGGGGCCACCCAUUUAGUAUCCCUCCAGGACACCCAGGAGGUGUUCUCCCUGUUCCUAUUUCCAGUAACACUCACCUGACCUAUUCCUUUGGUUUGGGACUUCAUUGCUCAAUGUUGUGAGACCACAAAGUUGGCAUAAUUGACAUCUAGCAAGUUGAGAGUUAGUUUUCCCAGCCACACUACCUCACUUUCAUUCAUGAGAUGCAAUUUAAAUGAAUAAAAUAAGUAGCUCUUUGUCUUAGCAGAACUGAUCCAAGUAGUUAAACUCUAGAUAGUUAAUUUGGGAGGUUAACCGUAGGGACAGGAGCAAAGGAUUGGUAAAAUAAGUCAGGGACAGGCAGACAGGCAGGCCUGUGCACGCCCUACCAAGGUCCCAAGUCACGCGGAACACACCAAAUCAGCCCGUGCCCUGGCAACAAUCCACUGGACACCCCCACCCCCACCCCGUACAGACACCUAGUUCCACACUACAAAGACGCAGAGGACACCAGACCACCAGACCAC
rnacentral:lncRNA from 1 species